AAUCAACGCUGGCGGCGUGCCUCAGACAUGCAAGUCGAACGCGAAAGGCCCCUUCGGGGGCCCGGUAGAGUGGCGCACGGGUGAGUAACACGUAGGUAAUUUGCCUUCGGGUGGGGAAGUAACAGCCGGAAACGGCUGCUAAUACCGCAUAAUAGCAGCGGCUCGACAUCGAGACAGUUGUUAAAGACGGGGGAGUCGCAAGACCUCGCGCCUGAAGAGAAGCCUGCGGCAGAUAGUCUUGUUGGUGAGGUAAUGGCUCACCAAGGCGACGAUCUGUAACCGGCCUGAGAGGGC
rnacentral:rRNA from 1 species